rnacentral:lncRNA from 1 species
AUUCCCCUUAUCAUAAGAUGAGAGAUACUUUUGCCCAAUUUAGGGCUUAGGGAACCAUGGAGUAGGAUUGUUGGGAGGUGUCCUGCUUUUUUUUUUUUAAACCCUUAUUUUCCAUCUUAGAAUCAAUACUGUGUAUUGGCUCCAAGGCAGAAGAGUGGUAAGGGCUAGGCAAUGGGGGUCAAGUGACUUGCCCAGGUCACUCAGCUAGGAAGUGUCUGAGGUCAAAUUUGAACCUAGGACCUCCCAUCUCUAGACCUGGCUCUCAAUCCACUGAGCCACCCAGCUGCCGCUUUGUCCUGCUUUUUAAAAAUAUGGGGGAUGUAAAGCUGUCUCUGUGUAACUUCAGUGGCUAUGCAUUUUACAUCUAGGGAGAUCUCAGACAGUUGAUGGCAUGGUUGAUGAAUGUGACAUAUAAGGAGAUCUCUUAACCUACUUGAUGGCAAUCUCAAGACCCUGGAUGAAGAGAUGACCUGGAUAAUGAUGCAGAGUUGUUGGCCCUGUUUGAGGUAUCCAUACAGAGGCUUUGACCUUCCUGGAGCUUCUUGUGUCCUCACCUCAUAUGAGAAGAAGAAAUAUGGUGGAUGGUGAUGCCCAGAGCUUCUGGAAGGUGAGAACACAGGGAGGAGAAGAAGAAGGGAAAUGUUCAAGGCAGAGAAGAAUGAAGAAAUGAGGGUGAAGAGCUCCGAGGGUGAAGGAAGCAAGGAGAAGGGAGGCUGUUGGAAGCAUAGCAGGACUGAAGGAGGCAGAGUUUGGAAAGACUGACGUGUGGGAGAAGGACUUGAUUUAUUGUUUGAGCCCAGACGGUAGAGCUGUAAGAUCACUGAGCUAAAUCGGAGCUUGAUAUAAGGAAAACUCCCAAAGAAUUAGAACUUUUCCAAGAAAGAGAGUGAUAAAGAGCAGGGAAACUAAGUCACAGGAAGAAGAACAUUUCUCCAGUGCAAGUUGGGGGAUGAGUUGAUUAGAGUGAGUUUGAAAAUAUUGAUUAACAAUAACUCAAAAAUAGCAAUGAAUAAAUAAUGAUAACUAGCAAUAACUUAACA